UCGACCGGAACCACUGGUGUGUUCUUAUGCAUGUCGGAUUUGCAUCGGAACUAAUCGCAUUGGAGAUCGGAGGAGCUGCGAAGUGGGGAUCGUUUUCAUCGUCGACCUCUGGUUUAGGUGUUGGUGGUGGCAACAACCACAGAUCCUAGUGUUUUGGUGUGCCUGACUUGCUUGUGUGGUGGAGAUCUAUUCUUCAGGGUCUUCGAUCGGCAACGAAGAACGAGAUCUGGCGUCUUCGUUGUCUUCGGUCAGAAUCUGGGUUCUCUAAUGUCGCCGACCAACUACCGAAGCAUAGGCAUCUCCUCCAUCAUUCUCUUUGACGGACUGCCAAAAUGGGUGGAGGAAUGGAAGCAAACAAGAACAAGUUCAUAGAGGAGUGGUGAUUUGCAAGAGAAAACCAAAUAGAAUGUUAAAUAUUAUUACUUCAUUUAAAUAAAUAAUAAAUAUAUUUUUAUGA